AAAUGUUAGUUGAUGGAACUCGAGAGAAUGCAGGACUGUCUUGCCGGUACCCUGACGAUGCCGGAUAUCAGAGUUGUGGUGUUACCCAAACGGUGGCAGUUGCCAGAAGGGUUGUUGUACACAACUGAUGUGCGCUGGUACCCGGUCGAUGCCGGUCAUCAGAGGUGUGCUGGGACUCUGUCGUACCGGCGCUUAUGUUAACAUGACGAUCAACUUUUUUCAAAGAUAGUCAUCCAGUUUGCAUGCAAAAGUCCUUCUUUCUAGCAGACGAUACCAAUUGCUUCUAGCAGAAGAAACCAGCUACUUCUAGCAGACGACAACAGUUGCUUCUGGCAGACGACACCAUUUGCUUCUAGCAGACGACAACGGUUACUUCUGGCAGACGACGCAAAAGUGCUUAUAGCAUUCGACACCAGUUGAUUCUACCAGACGACUCAAGGGGAGGAGGUAAU